rfam:Picea glauca, whole genome shotgun sequence.
AAAGAGAUUUCCACUGUCCCAAGAUACUAUCUAGAGAAACCAAAACCAAGGGAAUGAGCUUGGAAAAAUUUGCGGGGAAAGACGACUCUGUUGAGCUUGAGUCUAGUCCAACUUUGUGAAAUGACUUGAGAGGUGUAGAAUAAGUGGUAUUUGUUUUCAGUGAAAGUGAAAUAACACUACUUUUAACGUCAUUUUACUUAUUUCGUGGGGUAGAGAUCAGGCAUUUCACAUAUGUUAAAAUAUAAUGCACAUUUCCUCAAAGUGUUGUCUUUGAUGGAAAUGGUUAAAAGCUCAUUAUUCACACACUUGAUUGCAAUGAGUUUAGGAAACCAAAGAGGAUCAUUUCUUUUAAGGAUGAAGAAAAUUCCUAUAACAAUCCCUUUGUUUUUAGCCAACAUCCCCCCUAUAAGU